AAAAAAGCAGGGAUCUGUUGCCUAUUGUGGACUGGUCUCUCGUAAACUUCAGGGAAAUGAAAUUGCAUUGUUAUUGGGUGAACCUCUGGAGUGAUUUGUGAAGGAAGGUUCAGUAAACGAUGGAACAUUA